CCUACGGGAGGCUGCAGUGGGGAAUAUUGGACAAUGGGGGGAACCCUGAUCCAGCCAUGCCGCGUGUGUGAAGAAGGCCCUCGGGUUGUAAAGCACUUUCAGUGAGGAAGAACGCCUGGUGGUUAAUACCCAUCAGGAAAGACAUCACUCACAGAAGAAGCACCGGCUAACUCCGUGCCAGCAGCCGCGGUAAUACGGAGGGUGCGAGCGUUAAUCGGAAUUACUGGGCGUAAAGCGCGCGUAGGUGGCUUGAUAAGCCGGUUGUGAAAGCCCCGGGCUCAACCUGGGAACGGCAUCCGGAACUGUCAAGCUAGAGUGCAGGAGAGGAAGGUAGAAUUCCCGGUGUAGCGGUGAAAUGCGUAGAGAUCGGGAGGAAUACCAGUGGUGAAGGCGGCCUUCUGGACUGACACUGACACUGAGGUGCGAAAGCGUGGGUAGCAAACAGGAUUAGAUACCCGUGUAGUC
rnacentral:rRNA from 1 species